rnacentral:rRNA from 1 species
GGGGGCAGCCGGGGAAUUG